CCUACGGGUGGCAGCAGUGGGGAAUAUUGCACAAUGGGGGAAACCCUGAUGCAGCAACGCCGCGUGAAGGAAGACGGUUUUCGGAUUGUAAACGUCUGUUCGUAGUGAAGAAGAAUGACGGAAGCUAAGGAGCAAGCCACGGCUAACUACGUGCCAGCAGCCGCGGUAAUACGUAGGUGGCAAGCGUUGUCCGGAAUUACUGGGUGGAACGGGAGCGCAGGCGGGAAGCCAAGUCAGCGGUGAAAACUACGGGCUUAACUUGUAGACUGCAGUUGCAACUGGUUUUCUUGAGUGAAGUAGCGGUUGGCGUAAUUCCGAGUGUAGCGGUUCACUGCGUUGAUCUUCG
rnacentral:rRNA from 1 species